rnacentral:lncRNA from 1 species
AAGGAACAGAUACGUUUGUAAAUUUUUUGUGCAAUCCAAAAGUUCAAAUGUUCAUAAUAUGAUAAAAUACAAUUAAACAAUAAAGAGCUUAAUUCACAUAUACUUUUUUUAUCAUUAAUUAUUUCAUUAAGUAAUAAAAAAAAAAGUUCGAAUAUUAAUAAAAUCCAUUUUUAAAAACCAUAUUUUUAUAAAUUUAUAAAUAGUAUUUAAAGCUGAAUUCAACUUACUCACAUUAUUUAAUAUAUUCGUCUGUGCUAUUAAAAAAAAACAAUUUUUUUUUUUUUUUUUUUUUUUUUUUUUUUUUUUUUUUUUCAUUUUUUUUUUUAUUUUUUUUUUUAUAAGUUUGCAAAAGCAAAAUUCGUAAUAUGUCAAAAUGUUAUCAAAUUUGUGCGUUUCGACCUCUUUUGUUUGACCCUCUUUUGUUUGAUCCUCUUCUGUUGCUCCACCUUCUGUUGCUCCACCUUCUGUUGCCCCACCUUCUGUUUGACCUUCCACUGUCAAACCCUUUUUAAAAAAAAAACUAAAUGGCCACAUAAACACCUUAAUAUUUCCAUUUUGGUUGUUCAUAGUAAAUUUUAAAAUUAUUGUUUUAUUUUUGCUCUGUUCGCUAUUUAUACUUAUAAAAGCUGUUUUAUUAAAGUGAAAGUACAUUUGUUCUUCUAACUCGAACGGAUAUAAAUCAAUAUAUACAUGUAAAAGAUUAUCCUUAUCGUUGAAAUUGUAGUUAUAACACGAAGCAAUGGUCUCUACUUUUUUUGUUGUUAUACUUUGUUUAUAUAUUUGAAUUUUUUUUUUUAUAUAAUUAAACAUAUAGUAUUGAUUUAUACAAUUUUUAAGAAAUUCCAAAAAUAAAAUAUUACAAUAAAAAUGACUAGCUGUAUAU